rnacentral:rRNA from 1 species
CGGGACGGGGUGAGUAAUGUCUGGGAAACUGCCCGAUGGAGGGGGAUAACUACUGGAAACGGUAGCUAAUACCGCAUAACGUCGCAAGACCAAAGAGGGGGACCUUCGGGCCUCUUGCCAUCGGAUGUGCCCAGAUGGGAUUAGCUAGUAGGUGGGGUAAUGGCUCACCUAGGCGACGAUCCCUAGCUGGUCUGAGAGGAUGAUCAGCCACACUGGAACUGAGACACGGUCCAG